UCUGCUCAGGAGCUUUUUUCAACUCUUCAGUACCGUCAAAUAAAGCCCUCUGAAAUCUAUAGCUAUAAUUUUCAUCUAACCACCGACGAUGCCCCAUAUAGCAGAACUUCUUCCCAUUAUAUAACCACUGUGAACACGUUUGAGCAGCACAACAAGGAUAAGCAUAACGUCCUCUGGUACUCCAACCAGAUAAAUUCGCAUAUGUCGGGAAAUCAUUAAUUGUCCACAGCAAAGCAGCACGUAGGUAAAAGUUCUCCUUUCUCAAUACAUCAUACGUCUCAACACUCG
rnacentral:lncRNA from 1 species